GAUGAACGCUGGCGGCAGGCUUAACACAUGCAAGUCGAACGCCCCGCAAGGGGAGUGGCAGACGGGUGAGUAACGCGUGGGAACGUGCCCUUCGCUUCGGAAUAGCCCCGGGAAACUGGGAGUAAUACCGGAUACGCCGUAUUGGGAAAGAUUUAUCGGCGAAGGAUCGGCCCGCGUUGGAUUAGCUAGUUGGAGGUGUAAUGGACCCCCAAGGCUACGAUCCAUAGCUGGUCUGAGAGGAUGAUCAGCCACACUGGGACUGAGACACGGCCCAGACUCCUACGGGAGGCAGCAGUGGGGAAUCUUGGACAAUGGGCGCAAGCCUGAUCCAGCCAUGCCGCGUGAGUGAAGAAGGCCUUAGGGUUGUAAAACUCUUUCGCCGGAGAAGAUAAUGACGGUAUCCGGAGAAGAAGCCCCGGCUAACUUCGUGCCAGCCGCCGCAGUAAAAC
rnacentral:rRNA from 1 species